rnacentral:hammerhead_ribozyme from 1 species
AUCCAGCCGACGAGUCCCGAAUAGGGCGAAACGUGAGUCCUGGAU